rnacentral:rRNA from 1 species
UACGAAGGGGGCUAGCGUUGCUCGGAAUCACUGGGCGUAAAGCGCACGUAGGCGGCUUGGCAAGUCGGAUGUGAAAUCCCUCGGCUCAACCAAGGAAGUGCAUCCGAAACUGCCGAGCUUGAGUACUUAAGAGGAUCGCGGAAUUCCCGGUGUAGAGGUGAAAUUCGUAGAUAUCGGGAGGAACACCGGUGGCGAAGGCGGCGACCUGGGUAGAUACUGACGCUGAGGUGCGAAAGCGUGGGGAGCAAACAGG